rnacentral:lncRNA from 1 species
AUUUUUGAACCACAGCUGACUGAGGCAUGCACCAGAUCUGUCAUUUCUGGAAUCUUGUGCGAAUUGUGUAUCAACUUGAGGGGCCACUCACGGACUUGUCAUCUGCUCUCACCAGGACUUCAGAGGAUCUCAAUGCUGCUGUUCUCACAGCCUGACAGGGACAAAAUAACAGGAAACUUGCAAAUUUGUCUUUAUUCUUGCUUAUGCUAUAAAAUUGAAGAGUCUCUGCAUGGUCUGUUCCAGGCAUCUCCCUGAGCCAGCCCAAGGAACUGCCUUUAGG